AUUUGAUGCAUUUAUAAAAUAAGUUAACCUGUCCUCUGGCAUCUUCCACCAUCACUCUGCAAAUAUUCUUCUCCACUCCACGUGAUUUUUUUUUUUUUUUUUUUUUUUUUUUAAUAAUUUUCGAGGCUGUUUUUCUGUCUUCCGGAGAAUGAUCCAGAGAACAUGGGAAAGCAUUUUAUUUCGGUGAUUGUAAAGAAAAAAACAAUAUUUAAAGGCAACAGGUCAUAAAAGAUGGUUGUAUUUUUAGAAGACAGAUUAUAUUUAUAAAAGUGCACAUGCCUACAGUGGGUGUCUGUGUAAAGCGGAGUGUCUUGUCAACCAUGGAAAAGUGCUAUUUUUCCAGAAAUGUGUGGUAUAUUUAAAAAAAUACCCUCUUAUCAUAGAACCCUUAGUUGUCUAUUUUUUUGUAAAGUGCAGAGUAGUGGCAAGAGCAGCUGAUGUUAAAGCAUUUCUUCUUCUGUUCACAAGUCCAAAAGGAAUAAUAAGACUGAUUUAGCCGGCUCGACUGUUGUAGCAUUUUUAUUAGGUUGAGAAAGUGCGACUUCACUCGUGAAAACGUUUGUGUACAAUUUUGAUGGUUGUUUGUAGAAAUUUAAAGCUUCCAUUGAUCUGACUGCUCCACUGACCUCUUUUUGGUGUGUGUGUGUCUGUGUGUUUUUUUUUUUUUUUUUUUUUUUUUUUAUUGAUAAAAAAAAGGAAUUGCUGUCAUCUUGCUUAAAUGCAAGUCACAGGAGAUAUUUAUGGACGUUAGCAUGUGCCUUUUAACUGAAAUAAUCAGAGGUCUGGUAGAUUUACUGAAGUCAAGGAGGAGGCAGUGUUGCUUUAAGUAGACUGUUGCGUUGUACUGAUAUAUGCGUGAAACACGAUCCUUUGGAAAGAGUGUGUGUCUCGGUAUGCGAUAUAUUCAUGUAAUGUUGCCAUGUUGUGUUGCUACUUAUUAACAUGGAUUUCGGAAUAAUUAUUACACCCUCUACAAGAGCUAUUGGGAGGGUUUUAGCACCUUAUGUCCAAUGGUGUAUGCAUCUUUUUCGAGAACUGUUGUGUACUAAAUGAACCCUGUUUUAUAUAUUUUUUGUUUUUUUUUCCUGGAGAGGCAUGUGUGUUUCUUAUUUCUAUGUGGCACAAAUCACAAAUGUACAGAAUCAGUGCAUUGACUUUUAUCUGAAAUGCUCUUUUCUGUUGCUGGCUGUAUCUGAUUAGAAAAUGUCCACUUUAACUUUUUUUAAUGUGCAGGUUUGUGUUAACCUAAAGCUUUGUGAGUACAUGUGGACCUGUUGAUGAGGCGGUAGUGCAGGCGAUUGACUAGUACUGCUGCAAAUGGAUGAAAGUGAAACUGGAUUUGACUUUGGAAUGUAUUAAUAUUGUUUUCAUGGAAAGAUUGACUGCUUUUUCCUUGUGGAAAUUGAUUUCAAAAAAGGUUCUCUGUUGCUAAAAACCAUAAAAUUUGGGUAGGAAAAUGUACUUUAUAUUGUAGGCAGUUGAGUCAUUCAUGCCUUUCCAGUUAUACUACAGCCAAAAAGGAUAUUAGGUAGUUCAUCCUACUUCCAUUGUUGACUGAGAUGAUAAAGAUGUGUGUUCUUGGAAGACAUUUGGAACACAAAUACCUUGAGUAGUUGCUAAAAGCAAGGAAAGCAAAGGCCUCAGUAGUGUUUGCAUUUGCCUCUGCUGAAAAAAAAAAAUAGAAUUUAUUACUUUAUUGACUGAAAAAAAAAGUAUUUAGACUGUCAUGAUAAUCAUUUAAUUGUUUCAUCCAGCAAAAAUGCCAAAUACUAUCUGGUUUCAGCUACUGAAAUGCUAAUUCUGGCUUUUCUCUGGUUUAUAUCACUGUGAAUUUGUAGUUUUUGAGUUUUGCACUGUUGGCUGGUGGGGAUGGGGACAAGUAUUUUAGGGUUUUUCAUUUUCUUAUAUUUUAUAGAUUAGAUGAAAAACUUAGAUAUAACAAUGUAUCUAUGUUUAAAUUAAUUUCAGAAUGGACAUUAGACUCAAUUAUGAAACCUCAAAAUACCUCUUCCAGUUAUCUCUGCAGUACCCUUGAAGACGUCUUUACUUUCCUUCAUGCAGUUGGCAUCUUCUUUUAUUUUUGACAAUUUUAUUCAUGUAUUGUGGAUAAAGGGGCAAAGUAUUGCUAAAAAAUGUGUUUUGGUGGCUAAGUCAUAAUUCUAUUAUGCAUGUUUAAUUGAUUAGCAGUAGAAGUGGUUUCAGGAGCAAAAAAUAUCAAAUUGAUGCUAAAGGUACCCUCACGGACGGUCUGAGAGGAGCUGCUGUGUUGUGUUUCAGACGGACCACUCUUGUGGAGUGGACACAACAACAAUGGUAAAAUGGACACAAUGAACAGUUUUGGUGCUGCAGUUACAAAUUUAUUCGGGUGACCCCUGUCUGAUUUCAUUGGAUUUUGCGUUUCUUUUUAAAAAUGGAAUUCCAAAAGUAUGACAAUUCUUUAAUUUUGCUCCUGCUAAAUAUAUUUUAGCCAUGAUAAUCCCUUAAAUACUAUGCUCGAGCAUCAGCUGAUGAUACACCGAGAACAUCAAACUUGAAAUAUUGAAAAAUUGAAAGCCCUUGUCAUGGUAUGAUUUCAGAUAUGACCUCAGUGCAGAGAACAGAUAGGAAAGAACGUUCAAUGUUCUUUAAUCAGGAAGAGUUUAAGGGCAUAUACAGAUAAAACACGGGUAUCAUUCAUAUCAGGUAACAGUCCAGUAAUCGGCACACAACGGCUUGGUAGACACAAGAAGCCAGCAUUGGUCAGCAACAGGAAAUCAGACAGACAGUAUAAAUGACUAUGACAUACAAUAACAGAUGUUACAGCAAAGGGAAAACACAAAACCACAAUUUAAAAAAUGCGAGGUGGGAGGAGAAACAGGAAGAAUGCAACUGAAAAGAGACAAAGGAAGACCACGUGAAAGUUAAACAGGAAGAGACGUUGAACUGACACACUAAAAAAAUAAAUAGACCCACACUUAAUAAAUAAACAGACGUAACAUUUAACAUUCAUUCAUUCAUUUUCUGCCAUUUAUUUGGGUCUGGGUUGCCAUAGCAGUACACCAAAAGGCUCAGCCAACACUUCCAUAUCGUCAGCCAAGUCCUCUAACUCUUCAUCCUCUCCGGAUGCCUGAAGCAUCUCAGGUGGUUCCUUUCAAUGUUAAGAAGCAGUGGCUCUACUUCGAGUCCCUCCCAGAGAGACAAGCUUCUCGCCCUGUUUAGGAGCGUCAGCUCAGAUACCUGAUGGAGGAAUCACGUUUCUGCCAUUUGUAUCUACAACCUUGUUCUUUUGGUCAUUAUUACCCACAGUUCCUGACCACAGGUGCAGAAACUGAGAGUCUUUCCUUCUGGCUCAACUCUUUCUUCACCAUGACAGUCCAGUACAGUAUCUGUGGAACAUCAGAUGCAGCCCCAAUCUGUCUUAUCAGUCUCACACUCCAACUUGUGACCAAGACCCUGACAUACUUGAACUCCUCCGCUUGGACUAAUAACUCUGCCCCUGACUCAGAGGGGACAAUCCACCCUUUUCUGUUGGAGGGCCAUGGUCUCAGAUUUGGAGGUGCUAAUCAUCAUCCCAGUUGCUUUACACAAAGCCUCAAACUUGCCCAGUGUACAGCAGAGGUCACAGUCUGAUGAAGCUAAAAAAAAAAUUACAUUAUCCACAAAAAGCAGAAGUGUAAUUCUGAGGUCACCAAACUGGACACCCUCUUGUCCCUAACUGCACCUUGAAAUCCUGUCCAUGAACAACAGGAUUGGUGAGAAGUGGCAGCCUUAACAGAGUCCGGCACUCAUUGGGAGCAGGUCAGAGUUAAUGCCAAGAAUGCAGACACAGUUCAUACUUUGGUCGUAUAGAAAUGAGAUUGCAUGUUUCAGUGGUUCCAGUACCCCAAACUCGCAGCACCCCCACGGGGUAGCUCAAGGGACCUGAUCAUACAUAAUUUCCAAGUUGACAAAACACAUGUAGACUGGUUAGCCAUACUCCUUAUAAACAAAGAAGACAGAGAUAAACUAACACUUAGAAAUAAACUGGGAGGCACUAAGAAAAAUAAGCAAAGCAGUACAUUUUGAGAAAUAAU